CACACACACACACACACACACACACACACACACACACACACACACACACACACACACACACACAAAGUUAUACUCCUGGGCUGAGAAGCUAAAGCGUUUAAUGGCAGCUUAUUCUCUAGUCUGAACAAACAGUGAAUGCUGUCAACCUCAACGUUCAGCUGCGUUAAUUCCAGCAUAUGCAAUAUAGAUAGUGCUUUCUUGGUAGAAGACGUGUCACACAUUUUUAUAUUACCUUUAUAUUACCAUUAUUUAACUAGGCAAGUCAGUAAAGAACAAAUUCUCAUUUUCAAUGACAGCCUACGAACAGUGGGUUAAUUGCCUUGUUCAGGGACAGAACGACAGAUUUGUACCUUGUACCUUGAUUCGAACUUGCAACCGUUCUAGUUACUAGUCCAACACUCUAACAACUAGGCCCAAGCCUGAUGACUCUAAGAAUACUGACACCUGCUGGUUUGGGCAUCGUAACUAAAAGCCUAAACCUGUCAGGUGGAAAACUGAAGAGUAUCCAGGGUAACAGUCCUGCUGAAGAGUAUCCAGGGUAACAGUCCUGAUGAAGAGUAUCCAGGGUAACAGUCCUGCUGAAGAGUAUCCAGGGUAACAGUCCUGCUGAAUAGUAUCCAAGGUAACAGUCCUGCUGAAGAGUAUCCAGGGUAACAGUCCUGCUGAAGAGUAUCCAGGGUAACAGUCCUGCUGAAGAGUAUCCAGGGUAACAGUCCUGCUGAAGAGUAUCCAGGGUAACAGUCCUGCUGAAGAGUAUCCAGGGUAACAGUACAGUAACAGUACUGCUGAAUAGUAUCCAGGGUAACGGUCCUGCUGAAGAGUAUCCAGGGUAACAGUCCUGCUGAAGAGUAUCCAGGGUAACAGUCCUGAUGAAGAGUAUCCAGGGCAACAGUCCUGCUGAAGAGUAUCCAGGGUAACAGUCCUGCUGAAGAGUAUCCAGGGUAACAGUCCUGAUGAAGAGUAUCCAGGGUAACAGUCCUGCUGAAGAGUAUCCAGGGUAACAGUCCUGCUGAAGAGUAUCCAGGGUAACAGUCCUGCUGAAGAGUAUCCAGGGUAACAGUCCUGCUGAAUAGUAUCCAUGGUAACAGUCCUGCUGAAGAGUAUCCAGGGUAACAGUCCUGCUGAAGAGUAUCCAGGGUAACAGUCCUGCUGAAGAGUAUCCGGGGUAACAGUACAGUAACAGUACUUGUACGUGUCAGGAAGGCAGCAGCGGUGCACUUGGCCAUCCGCUAAACGUGAGUUUGUGACUUGUUAUGGAUGCUGGCGGGAAAAG
rnacentral:lncRNA from 1 species